UGGGGAAUCUUCCGCAAUGGACGAAAGUCUGACGGAGCAACGCCGCGUGAGUGAUGACGGCCUUCGGGUUGUAAAGCUCUGUUAAUCGGGGCGAAUGGUUCUUGUGCAAAUAGUGCGAGGAUUUGACGGUACCGGAAUAGAAAGCCACGGCUAACUACGUGCCAGCAGCCGCGGUAAUACGUAGGUGGCAAGCGUUGUCCGGAAUUAUUGGGCGUAAAGCGCGCGCAGGCGGAUUGGUCAGUCUGUCUUAAAAGUUCGGGGCUUAACCCCGUGAUGGGAUGGAAACUUCCAAUCUAGAGUAUCGGAGAGGAAAGUGGAAUUCCUAGUGUAGCGGUGAAAUGCGUAGAUAUUAGGAAGAACACCAGUGGCGAAGGCGACUUUCUGGACGAAAACUGACGCUGAGGCGCGAAAGCCAGGGGAGCGAACGGG
rnacentral:rRNA from 1 species